GUAAAAUUGGGGAACGGUGAAAGGAGUAAAGAGGUAGAGGUACAGAAAUUGAGGCCCACCCCCAUUCACAACCUUUUUUAAGGUUCCCAAGCCACAAUAUCCGGCACUUUGUUUAACGCAAUGAUAAUUGUUUUAAUGUCUCAUUAGCACAUAGACUACGAUUCUACGACCACGGCGAAUCUAUGCGCUGACCAAGAUAAAAAUGAC